AGAUCACAAAAACCGGGGUCGUACUGCUGACUCCACAAUGACAUUUGAGCAUUCACUGCGGCUUGUCGACCACAGACGAUUUAAGACCCAAGUUCGAGAAUGUUGGCUUUAGAUGAGGCGACAGGGAGCCCAAGUCUACAAGAUGGAGUGUAGGGAAGGGGCAAUGAGGACAUAGGUCUGACAAUCAUUCACAGAGCAGUGGAAGGAAAUGUCAUGUUUCCUUAAGAUGGAACCCAAAGACAGCAGACAUUGAAAACAGCAGAGGCUCCAGAAUUGAACCCUGUGGAACACCAUGACAUUGAAGCCGUGAAGGCCAAAUAAGUUCUAAACCACUCAAGGGUAAAACAUCUGAUGUUGUAUGUUAGGUAAAUUUACUGGGACAUUUCAUGUUUGCAUUGUUAGGGAGAAGAAGAAAAGUCAAUUUCUUAAUGCCCAUGUGGUGCUACAAAUGAGCCAACAGAAUAUAUAUAGAUUUAAAUACACUAUUCAACAACACAUCAA